rnacentral:rRNA from 1 species
AGAGCAGCACUGGGACUAAAGCGGGCGCAGACGGUUACUUAAGCAGGAUGUGAAAUCCCCGGGCUCAACUUGGGAACUGCGUUCUGAACUGGGUGACUAGAGUGUGUCAGAGGGAGGUAGAAUUCCACGUGUAGCAGUGAAAUGCGUAGAGAUGUGGAGGAAUACCGAUGGCGAAGGCAAUCCCCUGGACCUGUACUGACGCUCAUGCACGAAAGCGUGGGGAGCAAACAGGAUUAGAUACCCUGGUAGUCCACGCCCUAAACGAUGUCGAUUAGCUGUUGGGCAGCAUGACUGCUUAGUAGCGAAGCUAACGCGUGAAAUCGACCGCCUGGGGAGUACGGUCGCAAGAUUAAAACUUAAAGGAAUUGACGG